UAGGGAAUCUUCGGCAAUUGACGAAAGUCUGACCGAGCAACGCCGCGUGAGUGAAGAAGGUUUUCGGAUCGUAAAACUCUGUUGUUAGAGAAGAACAAGGACGUUAGUAACUGAACGUCCCCUGACGGUAUCUAACCAGAAAGCCACGGCUAACUACGUGCCAGCAGCCGCGUUAAUACGUAGGUGGCAAGCGUUGUCCGGAUUUAUUGGGCGUAAAGCGAGCGCAGGCGGUUUCUUAAGUCUGAUGUGAAAGCCCCCGGCUCAACCGGGGAGGGUCAUUGGAAACUGGGAGACUUGAGUGCAGAAGAGGAGAGUGGAAGUCCAUGUGUAGCGGUGAAAUGCGUAGAUAUAUGGAGGAACACCAGUGGCGAAGGCGGCUCUCUGGUCUGUAACUGACGCUGAGGCUCGAAAGCGUGGGGAGCAAACAGG
rnacentral:rRNA from 1 species